rnacentral:rRNA from 1 species
UACGUAGGCGGAAAAUUAAGUCAGUGGUGAAAUCCUGCAGCUUAACUGUGGAACUGUCAUUGAUACUGGUUUUCUUGAAUAUAGUUGAGGUAGGCGGAAUGUGUAAUGUAGCGGUGAAAUGCUUAGAUAUUACACAGAACACCGAUUGCGAAGGCAGCUUACUAAGCUAUGAUUGACGCUGAGGUACGAAAGCGUGGGGAGCGAACAGGAUUAGAUACCCUGGUAGUCC